rnacentral:rRNA from 1 species
CAGGAAAAGCCUCUAAGCUUCAGAUAGUCAGGAAUCGUACCCCAAACCGACACAGGUGGUCGGGUAGAGAAUACCAAGGCGCUUGAGAGAACUCGGGUGAAGGAACUAGGCAAAAUGGUACCGUAACUUCGGGAGAAGGUACGCUCUUGAUGGUGAAGUCCCUCGCGGAUGGAGCUGACGAGAGUCGCAGAUACCAGGUGGCUGCAACUGUUUAUUAAAAACACAGCACUGUGCAAAAUCGCAAGAUGACGUAUACGGUGUGACGCCUGCCCGGUGCCGGAAGGUUAAUUGAUGGGGUUAGCGCAAGCGAAGCUCUUGAUCGAAGCCCCGGUAAACGGCGGCCGUAACUAUAACGGUCCUAAGGUAGCGAAAUUCCUUGUCGGGUAAGUUCCGACCUGCACGAAUGGCGUAAUGAUGGCCACGCUGUCUCCACCCGAGACUCAGUGAAAUUGAAAUCGCUGUGAAGAUGCAGUGUACCCGCGGCUAGACGGAAAGACCCCGUGAACCUUUACUACAGCUUGGCACUGAACAUUGAACCUACAUGUGUAGGAUAGGUGGGAGGCUUUGAAGACGUGACGCCAGUUGCGUUGGAGCCGUCCUUGAAAUACCACCCUUGUAUGUUUGAUGUUCUAACUUAGACCCGUUAUCCGGGUUGAGGACAGUGCCUGGUGGGUAGUUUGACUGGGGCGGUCUCCUCCCAAAGAGUAACGGAGGAGCACGAAGGUGGGCUAAUCACGGUUGGACAUCGUGAGGUUAGUGCAAUGGCAUAAGCCCGCUUAACUGCGAGAAUGACGGUUCGAGCAGGUGCGAAAGCAGGUCAUAGUGAUCCGGUGGUUCUGUAUGGAAGGGCCAUCGCUCAACGGAUAAAAGGUACUCCGGGGAUAACAGGCUGAUACCGCCCAAGAGUUCAUAUCGACGGCGGUGUUUGGCACCUCGAUGUCGGCUCAUCACAUCCUGGGGCUGAAGUCGGUCCCAAGGGUAUGGCUGUUCGCCAUUUAAAGUGGUACGCGAGCUGGGUUUAGAACGUCGUGAGACAGUUCGGUCCCUAUCUGCCGUGGGCGUUGGAAGAUUGAAGGGGGCUGCUCCUAGUACGAGAGGACCGGAGUGGACGAACCUCUGGUGUUCGGGUUGUGUCGCCAGACGCAUUGCCCGGUAGCUAAGUUCGGAAUUGAUAAGCGCUGAAAGCAUCUAAGCGCGAAGCGAGCCCUGAGAUGAGUCUUCCCUGAUACUUUAAGUAUCCUAAAGGGUUGUUCGAGACUAGAACGUUGAUAGGCAGGGUGUGUAAGCGUUGUGAGGCGUUGAGCUAACCUGUACUAAUUGCCCGUGAGGCUUAACCAU